rnacentral:misc_RNA from 1 species
UGUAGGAGCGAGCCUGCUCGCGAUGGUGUGUCAGGUACGCAGGUGUCGACUGACACUCCAUCGCGAGUAGGCUCGCUCCUACC